rnacentral:rRNA from 1 species
GGUACGGGUUGUGAGAGCAAGAGCCCGGAGAUGGAUUCUGAGACACGAAUCCAGGCCCUACGGGGUGCAGCAGGCGCGAAAACUUUACAAUGCCGGCAACGGCGAUAAGGGGACCUCGAGUGCCAGGUUACAAAUCUGGCUGUCGUGAUGCCUAAAAAGCAUUGCAUAGCAAGGGCCGGGCAAGACCGGUGCCAGCCGCCGCGGUAACACCGGCGGCUCGAGUGGUAACCGUUAUUAUUGGGUCUAAAGGGUCUGUAGCCGGCCAGAUAAGUCUCUUGAGAAAUCCAGCAGCUCAACUGUUGGGCUUUCAGGAGAUACUGUCUGGCUCGAGGCCGGGAGAGGUGAGAGGUACUUCAGGGGUAGGGGUGAAAUCUUGUAAUCCUUGAAGGACCACCAGUGGCGAAGGCGUCUCACCAGAACGGACCUGACGGCAAGGGACGAAAGCUAGGGGCACGAACCGGAUUAGAUACCCGGGUAGUCCUAGCCGUAAACGAUACUCGCUAGGUGUCGGCCACGGUGCGACCGUUGUCGGUGCCGUAGGGAAGCCGUGAAGCGAGCCACCUGGGAAGUACGGCCGCAAGGCUGAAACUUAAAGGAAUUGGCGGGGGAGCACCACAACGGGUGGAGCUUGCGGUUUAAUUGGAUUCAACGCCGGAAAUCUUACCGGGACCGACAGCAAUAUGAAGGCCAGGCUGAAGACUUUGCCGGAUUAGCUGAGAGGUGGUGCAUGGCCGUCGUCAGUUCGUACUGUGAAGCAUCCUGUUAAGUCAGGCAACG